CCCCACCUUCUCCCCACUAUUACAUAACAGCCUCCGCUGCAGAGGAAGAGCACUGCAGAGGACUCUGGCCACAACACAUAAAUCUUACUAUGUACAAUCUCCGCUUGGGUAAAUGGAUGGCAAAUGAAACAUUCCCGGAUUGGAAAACAAGGCUAUGAUCACUUGUAACUGGUGAUGGUUAUGAAGACAUACUAUACAAAAUGAAGAAUCCACAAUCGAUGACAAUGUAGCUUUUUUUAAUGGUUGAACUUUUGUUUACACAAUGUCUUCAAGUCUAUCAGUUCAUAAAUGCAGCUGAGUGAAGUUGCAUAUUGGAAAAUCUGAAUUAUUCUUUAAAGCUUUGUGACGAUGAACAGCUACAUGAACGCUGUGCUACAUGAACGCUGAGCUACAUGAACGCCGUGCUACAUGAACGCUGUGCUACAUGAACGCUGAGCUACAUGAACGCCGUGCUACAUGAACGCUGUGCUACGCUGAACAAAGACGUAAGGAAGGUCCAAGUGGAAAAAUGCACGGCCCACCACUGGUGUGUGAGUUUACCGUGACAUCAUGGAACUGAUGCAGAAGUGAGAAAGUCAAGUUUACAAUAGAAUUUAUGUACAAGGCAAAUUAGGAAGUAAAUAAAUUCACUUUUUGCUAACCA